GACAGGGUGGCUGAGUGCAUAAGUGCUGGCUUGUAGUCCCAUGAACAGAGGUUGAAAUCCUUUUCCUGUCA
rnacentral:tRNA from 1 species